rnacentral:tRNA from 1 species
GGAGAGAUGGCUGAGCGGUCAAAAGCAGCAGACUGUAAAUCUGCCGGGCCUCGCCCUACGAAGGUUCGAAUCCUUCUCUCUCCACCA